UACAGAGGGUGCAAGCGUUAAUCGGAAUUACUGGGCGUAAAGCGUGCGUAGACGGUUAUUUAAGUCAGGUGUGAAAGCCCCGGGCUCAACCUGGGAAUUGCAAUUGAGACUGAAUAGCUAGGGUGCGGAAGAGGGAAGCGGAAUUUCCGGUGUAGCGGUGAAAUGCGUAGAUAUCGGAAGGAACACCAGUGGCGAAAGCGGCUUCCUGGUCCAGCACCGACGUUCAGGCACGAAAGCGUGGGGAGCAAACAGG
rnacentral:rRNA from 1 species